UACACUCCUACGGGAGGCAGCAGUGGGGAAUAUUGCACAAUGGGCGCAAGCCUGAUGCAGCCAUGCCGCGUGUAUGAAGAAGGCCUUCGGGUUGUAAAGUACUUUCAGCGGGGAGGAAGGCGAUAAGGUUAAUAACCUUGUUGAUUGACGUUACCCGCAGAAGAAGCACCGGCUAACUCCGUGCCAGCAGCCGCGGUAAUACGGAGGGUGCAAGCGUUAAUCGGAAUUACUGGGCGUAAAGCGCACGCAGGCGGUCUGUCAAGUCGGAUGUGAAAUCCCCGGGCUCAACCUGGGAACUGCAUUCGAAACUGGCAGGCUAGAGUCUUGUAGAGGGAGGUAGAAUUCCAGGUGUAGCGGUGAAAUGCGUAGAGAUCUGGAGGAAUACCGGUGGCGAAGGCGGCCCCCUGGACAAAGACUGACGCUCAGGUGCGAAAGCGUGGGGAGCAAACAGGAUUAGAAACCCGAGUAGUCCCAUGA
rnacentral:rRNA from 1 species